rnacentral:lncRNA from 1 species
CGGGAUAUAAACCCAGGCAUUCCAGCUGGCAAUGGCAAUCCCCUUUGGGUCCCCUCCCAUUGCAUGGGAGCUGUGUUUUCACUCUAUUAAAUCUUGGAACUGCACACUUUUCUGGUCCGUGUUUGUUAGGGCUCGAGCUGAGCUUUCGCUUGCUGUCCACCACUGCUGUUUGCUGCCGUCGCAGACCCGCAGCUGACUUCUACCCCUCCGGAUCCAGCAGGGUGUCUGCUGCACUCCUGAUCCAGUGAGGCGCACAUUGCCACUCCCAAUCGGGCUAAAGGCUUGCCAUUGUUCCUGCACGGCUAAGUGCCCAGGUUUGUCAUAAUCAAGCAGAACACUAGUUGUGGGUUCCACAGUUCUCUUCCAUGACCCAUGGCUUCUAAUAGAGCUGUAACACCCACCGCGUGGUCCAAGAUUCCAUUCCUUGGAAUCCGUGAGGCCAACAACCCCAGCUCAGAGAACAAGAGGCUUGCCACCAUCUUGGAAGCGGCCUGCCACCAUCUUGGGAGUUCUAAGAACAAGGGACCCUAGUAACGUCUCCAUCUAGGGCCAACUGUAAACCUUCA